UUGUUUUGGCUACACAUAUACUAAAAUCAGAAAGAUACAGAGAAGAUUUGCACAGCUUCUGAGCAAGGAUGACAUGAAAAUUUGUGAAGCCUUCCAUAUUUUU
ensembl:snRNA U6 U6 spliceosomal RNA